CCUUAGAGUUUGAUCCUGGCUCAGGAUGAACGCUAGCUACAGGCUUAACACAUGCAAGUCGAGGGGCAGCAUGAUUGAAGCUUGCUUCAAUCGAUGGCGACCGGCGCACGGGUGAGUAACACGUAUCCAACCUGCCGAUAACUCGGGGAUAGCCUUUCGAAAGAAAGAUUAAUACCCGAUAGCAUAGUAUUUCCGCAUGGUUUCACUAUUAAAGAAUUUCGGUUAUCGAUGGGGAUGCGUUCCAUUAGAUAGUUGGCGGGGUAACGGCCCACCAAGUCAACGAUGGAUAGGGGUUCUGAGAGGAAGGUCCCCCACAUUGGAACUGAGACACGGUCCAAACUCCUACGGGAGGCAGCAGUGAGGAAUAUUGGUCAAUGGACGAGAGUCUGAACCAGCCAAGUAGCGUGAAGGAUGACUGCCCUAUGGGUUGUAAACUUCUUUUAUACGGGAAUAAAGUGGAGUAUGCAUACUCCUUUGUAUGUACCGUAUGAAUAAGGAUCGGCUAACUCCGUGCCAGCAGCCGCGGUAAUACGGAGGAUCCGAGCGUUAUCCGGAUUUAUUGGGUUUAAAGGGAGCGUAGGCGGGUGCUUAAGUCAGUUGUGAAAGUUUGCGGCUCAACCGUAAAAUUGCAGUUGAUACUGGGCGCCUUGAGUGCAGCAUAGGUAGGCGGAAUUCGUGGUGUAGCGGUGAAAUGCUUAGAUAUCACGAAGAACUCCGAUUGCGAAGGCAGCUUACUGGACUGUAACUGACGCUGAUGCUCGAAAGUGUGGGUAUCAAACAGGAUUAGAUACCCUGGUAGUCCACACAGUAAACGAUGAAUACUCGCUGUUGGCGAUACACAGUCAGCGGCCAAGCGAAAGCAUUAAGUAUUCCACCUGGGGAGUACGCCGGCAACGGUGAAACUCAAAGGAAUUGACGGGGGCCCGCACAAGCGGAGGAACAUGUGGUUUAAUUCGAUGAUACGCGAGGAACCUUACCCGGGCUUAAAUUGCAGCGGAAUGUAGUGGAAACAUUACAGCCUUCGGGCCGCUGUGAAGGUGCUGCAUGGUUGUCGUCAGCUCGUGCCGUGAGGUGUCGGCUUAAGUGCCAUAACGAGCGCAACCCUUAUCUAUAGUUACUAUCAGGUCAUGCUGAGGACUCUAUGGAGACUGCCGUCGUAAGAUGU
rnacentral:rRNA from 1 species